UUGCUAUGCCGCGGCAGACUCCUUUUCCCGCCAAGAACUUAUAGACCAGGAGAAAGAACUCCUUGAGAAGUUGGCGUGGCGAACAGAGGCAGUCUUAGCGACGGACGUCACUUCCUUCUUGUUACUUAAAUUGCUGGGGGGCUCCCAACACCUGGACUUUUGGCACCACGAGGUCAACACCCUGAUUACAAAAGCCUUAGUUGACCCAAAGACUGGCUCAUUGCCCGCCUCUAUUAUCAGCGCUGCAG
rfam:Human herpesvirus 8 strain GK18, complete genome.